CCAAGACUUAAAAAAAUCACACCAAUCAUGGCAUACCGUUUGCAAAAGUAGACAACCCAGGGUAUUCAAAAUGGGGUAUGUCCAGUAUUUCUUUGUCAAUCUGUGUUUUUAUUGUGGGUUGAGUCAUAAAAACAAAACACUAUUGUGGUGACAACACCACCUCAAAGCAAGGAGUAGAUAAACAUCAGGAGCGAUAAUAUACAUACAUACCUAUCCUAAUCAAGUAUCGGCACAUAACAUGAACAAGGCUAUGUAAUGGUGUGAUCUGUGGCAUGUCCCACAAUAGACUGGAUGGCCUCAUUUUUUAAGGUCUGGACAAUGUGUAUGGGACCUGCAUGGCACACUAAACACAGAGAUAAGCGACUUUGUAAGAGUAACCAGUGCAGCAGUGUGAGUAAUAAAGUAGGCACAGAGCUCAGUAGUACAGCGGAUACGUGCAGUAUUGCCAU